rnacentral:lncRNA from 11 species
GGGACUUCCUGCACCUCAGCGUUCUGAUUCAUGCUGAGAACUUUGAAGCAGUCCAAUUAGGCUUCCAGAAAGCUGCUGUUGCACACACUUGGGUGUUGAUUGCAAGUAUUAUUAUGUGAAGAGACUUAAUUUCUUUCUUCUGGAGAAAAUUGCUGCUCCCAUUUUCAUACUCCUUCUUAUGGCUUUGUCUUUUCAGUUAUUUGCAACAGGUUUGCCAGGAGUUGACUAACAGCAUCAUCCCUUUUAUUUUUAAGGCAGAAAAAAAGGAGAAAGCAAAACCACACCAAGCAGUGCACAUUGCAGGAAUAAUACUUUUGGCAUAGUCUUCCCUAGAAAUCCAGCCAUC